UCAGCCAUCCUUUAAAGAAAGCGUAAUAGCUCACUGGUCAAGUGCCUUCGCGCGGAAGAUUCAACGGGGCUUAAGUGUAGCACCGAAGCUAUGGACUAGUAGCAAUACUAGUGGUAGAGGAGCAUUGUAGAUACCAGUGAAGGUGUGGGGUGAUCCAUGCUGGAGGAACUACAAGCGCAUAUGCUAGCAUAAGUAGCGAUAAGACGAGUGAGAAACUCGUCCGCCAAAAGCCCAAGGUUUCCUGGGAAAGGGUAAUCCUCCCAGGGUUAGUCGGCCCCUAAGGCGAGGCUGAAAAGCGUAGUCGAUGGACAACAGGUUUAAAUUCCUGUACCCGACAGUUGAGUGAUGCAGGGGUGAAGGAAGGUAGUCGAGCCAGUAAUUGGAUUCUGGUUUAAAGUCGUAGGGUGAUAACUAGGUAAAUCCGGUUAUCGUUAGCCUGAGAACUUAUGACGGGGCCGCAAGGCUUGUAGUCGAUGAUCCUAUGCUUACAAGAAAAGCUGCUAAACGUUGACGCUGUCGGACCGUACCGCAAACCGACUCAGGUGGGCAAGUAGAGAAUACUAAGGCGUUUGAGUGAAACCAGGUUAAGGAACUCGGCAAAUUGACACCGUAUCUUCGGUAGAAGGUGUGCCAGCUAAGUGUAGUACCUCGCGUACGAAGCUAAGUCUGGUUGCAGAGAAGAGGGGGUGGCGACUGUUUACCAAAAACACAGCACUGUGCAAAGUCGUAAGACGACGUAUACGGUGUGACGCCUGCCCGGUGCUGGAAGGUUAAAAGGAGGGGUCAGCAGCAAUGCAAAGCUCCGAAUUGAAGCCCCAGUAAACGGCGGCCGUAACGAUAACGGUCCUAAGGUAGCGAAAUUCCUUGUCGGGUAAGUUCCGACCUGCACGAAUGGCGUAACGACUUCCCCGCUGUCUCAACCUGGUGCUCAGCGAAUUUGAAACCGGUGUGCAGAUGCACCGUACCCGCAGCAAGACGGAAAGACCCCGUGAACCUUUACUAUAGCUUGACACUGUUAUUCGGAUUGAUCUGUGUAGAAUAGGUGGGAGGCUUUGAAGCCAUGGCGCUAGCCAUGGUGGAGCCAACUGUGAAAUACCACCCUGAUAAAUCUGGAUAUCUAACCUCGUUCCGUAAGCCGGAACAGGGACCGUGUCUGGUGGGUAGUUUGACUGGGGCGGUCGCCUCCUAAAAUGUAACGGAGGCGCGCAAAGGUUCCCUCAAGCCGGAUGGAAAUCGGUUGAAGAGUGCAAACGCACAAGGGAGCUUUACUGCAAGACGGACGUGUCGAGCAGUUACGAAAGUAGGCGCC
rnacentral:rRNA from 1 species